CAACCGGGAUUGCCUUAGUAACGGCGAGUGAAGCGGCAAAAGCUCAAAUUUGAAAUCUGGUACCUUCGGUGCCCGAGUUGUAAUUUGGAGAGGGCAACUUUGGGGCCGUUCCUUGUCUAUGUUCCUUGGAACAGGACGUCAUAGAGGGUGAGAAUCCCGUGUGGCGAGGAGUGCGGUUCUUUGUAAAGUGCCUUCGAAGAGUCGAGUUGUUUGGGAAUGCAGCUCUAAGUGGGUGGUAAAUUCCAUCUAAAGCUAAAUAUUGGCGAGAGACCGAUAGCGAACAAGUACAGUGAUGGAAAGAUGAAAAGAACUUUGAAAAGAGAGUGAAAAAGUACGUGAAAUUGUUGAAAGGGAAGGGCAUUUGAUCAGACAUGGUGUUUUGUGCCCUCUGCUCCUUGUGGGUAGGGGAAUCUCGCAUUUCACUGGGCCAGCAUCAGUUUUGGUGGCAGGAUAAAUCCAUAGGAAUGUAGCUUGCCUCGGUAAGUAUUAUAGCCUGUGGGAAUACUGCCAGCUGGGACUGAGGACUGCGACGUAAG
rnacentral:rRNA from 1 species